rnacentral:rRNA from 1 species
CAGCAGCCACGGUAAUACGUAGGUGGCAAGCGUUGUCCGGAAUUAUUGGGCGUAAAGGGCUCGCAGGCGGUUUCUUAAGUCUGAUGUGAAAGCCCCCGGCUCAACCGGGGAGGGUCAUUGGAAACUGGGAAACUUGAGUGCAGAAGAGGAGAGUGGAAUUCCACGUGUAGCGGUGAAAUGCGUAGAGAUGUGGAGGAACGCCAGUGGCGAAGGCGACUCUCUGGUCUGUAACUGACGCUGAGGAGCGAAAGCGUGGGGAGCGAACAGGAUUAGAUACCCGCGUAGUCCCUGUCUCUUAUAC